GGCUGUAGCUCAGUGGCAGAGCGCUUGCCUAGCGCAUGCGAGGCACUGGGUUCGAUCCUCAGCGCCA
rnacentral:tRNA from 1 species